GGCCCCAUCGUCUAGCGGUCUAGGACACCACCCUUUCAAGGUGGAUACACGGGUUCGAGUCCCGUUGGGGUCA
rnacentral:tRNA from 4 species